AACGCACAUUGCGCCCCUUGGUAUUCCAUGGGGCAUGCCUGUUCGAGCGUCAUCUACACCCUCAAGCUCUGCUUGGUGUUGGGCGUCUGUCCCGCCUCUGCGCGCGGACUCGCCCCAAAUUCAUUGGCAGCGGUCUUUGCCUCCUCUCGCGCAGCACAAUUGCGUCUGCGGGGGGGCGUGGCCCGCGUCCACGAAGCAACCAUUACCGUCUUUGACCUCGGAUCAGGUAGGGAUACCCGCUGAACUUAA
rnacentral:misc_RNA from 1 species